UACGUAGGGUGCAAGCGUUAUCCGGAAUUAUUGGGCGUAAAGAGCUACGUAGGCGGUUCGUCGCGUCGGCUGUGAAAUCCCGAGGCUCAACCUCGGGUCUGCAGUCGAUACGGGCAGACUUGAGUUCGGCAGGGGAGACUGGAAUUCCUGGUGUAGCGGUGAAAUGCGCAGAUAUCAGGAGGAACACCGGUGGCGAAGGCGGGUCUCUGGGCCGAUACUGACGCUGAGGAGCGAAAGCGUGGGGAGCGAACAGG
rnacentral:rRNA from 1 species